AGCUUGUAAGGCACUUCACACACAUCAACAUUGUUCUCUCUCUCUCUCAUCACAUUUAGAAGAGCAAUCAACCAUGACAAAAAGCUUCAUCGAUAAAGACCACAACACCAAUAGUAAUCCUCCAACAUGGUAAAUCUAAGAAGAAUUUAAUGGUCAAAAAUGGAGGAACCAAUGCUGAAAUGACUUGUGAUGCUUGCAAAUGUCAUAGAAACUUCCAUAAGAAAGAAUGGUACUUCACUUAGGCUAAUUCUAUAACAGCUCAACCAUCUAAGGCUCCUUGAGGAUUAUGUUUUGUGAGUAAAGAAUAAUGAGAAGUUAAUUAGCCUCCCAAAUCAUGAUUAUUGUGAUGGACUAAUUAAUUUCUUUUGGUUUUGGUGUCUUAUUGUUGUGAAUUAUGAACCUAGUAUCCUGUAAAUAUCAUUUGGUGAAUUGGGUGUCUCGUAAAUCUAUGUUAAUCGAAGUUGUUUUUUAAGUAAUAUUUUAAGUUAUGAUUUAAAGUGCAAAGUAACUUAUAUGUGUGAUUAAAUACCCAAAUUAAUUACGAUAAUUUCAAC
rnacentral:lncRNA from 1 species